GCUGGGUGUAGUGGUGCAUGCCUGUAAUCCCAGCAGCUUUGGAGGCUGAGGCAGGAGCAUGGUGAGUUCAAAGCCAGUCUCAG
rnacentral:sRNA from 1 species